CGCACAUUGCGCCCAUUAGUAUUCUAGUGGGCAUGCCUGUUCGAGCGUCAUUUCGACCCUUAGGCCUCUGUCGCCUAGCGUUGGGAGCCCGCGGCCGCCGUGCCGCGCCUCCCCAAAGUCAGUGGCGGAGUCGGUACACACUCUAGGCGUAGUAGAUCUCUUUCUCGCCUCUGCGGUGGUGCCGGCCCCUGCCGUAAAACCCCCCAUACCUAAAGUUUGACCUCGGAUCAGGUAGGAAUACCCGCUGAACUUAA
rnacentral:misc_RNA from 1 species